UCGGGUUGUAAAGCACUUUUGUCCGGAAAGAAAACUUCGGGGCUAAUACCUCUGGAGGAUGACGGUACCGGAAGAAUAAGCACCGGCUAACUACGUGCCAGCAGCGCGGUAAUCGUAGGGUGCGAGCGUUAAUCGGAAUUACUGGGCGUAAAGCGUGCGCAGGCGGUCUGUUAAGACAGAUGUGAAAUCCCCGGGCUUAACCUGGGAACUGCAUUUGUGACUGGCAGGCUAGAGUAUGGCAGAGGGGGGUAGAAUUCCACGUGUAGCAGUGAAAUGCGUAGAGAUGUGGAGGAAUACCGAUGGCGAAGGCAGCCCCCUGGGCCAAUACUGACGCUCAUGCACGAAAGCGUGGGGAGCAAACAGGAUUAGAUACCCUGGUAGUCCACGCCCUAAACGAUGUCAACUAGUUGUUGGGGAUUCAUUUCCUUAGUAACGUAGCUAACGCGUGAAGUUGACCGCCUGGGGAGUACGGUCGCAAGAUUAAAACUCAAAGGAAUUGACGGGGACCCGCACAAGCGGUGGAUGAAUGUGGAUUAAUUCGAUGCAACGCGAAAAACCUUACCUACCCUUGACAUGGUCGGAACCCUGGUG
rnacentral:rRNA from 1 species